CUUCCCAGCGGGGGCUCCCGCAGCUCCUCCCGGCACCGCUCCCGCCUGGCCGCCCUGGGCUCAUCCUGGAGCCGCAGCUCCCGCAUCCCAGCGCUCCUUCCCCGAACCGGCCCAGGUGAGGAGGAGGAAGGAGGUCUGAGCCUCCCUGUGCCACCCCAGAAUCAUCUGGAACGAGGGGAAGCUCCCGAGCAGCUGACAAGGAACAUCCAGGUUUGCCAAGGCCAGGUCCUGGCAGGAAGAUGUUUUGGUUUUCCUGGUGUCUGGAGCAGCAGGAGCCUCGUGCCACCCCGAGGCAGAGAAGGGACCUUCGUCAUGUCCACCAGAACCUCUCCAGGGUGGGCUCCCAACCCCUCAUCCCAGGCAGCAUCUGCUCAC